CUACGUGCCAGCAGCCGCGGUAAUACGUAGGGCGCGAGCGUUGUCCGGAAUUAUUGGGCGUAAAGAGCUUGUAGGCGGUUUGUCGCGUCUGCUGUGAAAGGCCGGGGCUUAACCCCGUGUAUUGCAGUGGGUACGGGCAGACUAGAGUGCAGUAGGGGAGACUGGAACUCCUGGUGUAGCGGUGGAAUGCGCAGAUAUCAGGAAGAACACCGAUGGCGAAGGCAGGUCUCUGGGCUGUAACUGACGCUGAGAAGCGAAAGCAUGGGGAGCGAACAGGAUUAGAUACCCUGGUAGUCCAUGCCGUAAACGAUGAGUGCUAGGUGUUGGGUCCUUUCCGGGACUCAGUGCCGCAGCUAACGCAUUAAGCACUCCGCCUGGGGAGUACGACCGCAAGGUUGAAACUCAAAGGAAUUGACGGGGGCCCGCACAAGCGGUGGAGCAUGUGGUUUAAUUCGAAGCAACGCGAAGAACCUUACCAGGUCUUGACAUCCCUCUGACCGCUCUAGAGAUAGAGCUUUC
rnacentral:rRNA from 1 species